CUGAAUAUUUUCAGCCUGGAAAAAUAUGACUAUGUGGAGACCCAGAGCUGAGACCCCAGUUCCUGAAAGAUCCACGACUGGAUUCUACCAUUUGUAUGAAGUCAGAAGAUGUCAAGAUGCGGAAAUGGUGAUUUUAAGCUAAGUCACAGAGUUCAGAAAGAAGAGCCGAAUGAGCUGUAGUGUGGGUCUCACACCAAAGGAGCGUCGCCGAGUGAUUAAUAGUGAGGACUGUGCAGUGCUUUCGAAUCCUGCUUUCACCGUUCAAUAGUUGGUAAUUUGGAGCCUGUUCCUUAACCUGGCUG